AGAGUUUGAUCCUGGCUCAGGACGAACGCUGGCGGCGUGCCUAACACAUGCAACUCGAGCGAAGUAGGAUGUGUUCUUCGGAAUGCGUUCUACUUAGCGGCGGACGGGUGAGUAACGCGUGAGGAACCUGCCUCUCACAGAGGGAUAGCCUCGGGAAACUGAGGGUAAUACCUCAUGAGACUUAUGUACCGCAUGGUAUGUAAGUUAAAGCGAUUUAGCGGUGAGAGAUGGCCUCGCGUCCCAUUAGCUAGUUGGUGAGGUAACGGCUCACCAAGGCGACGAUGGGUAGCCGGCCUGAGAGGGUGGACGGCCACACUGGAACUGAGACACGGUCCAGACUCCUACGGGAGGCAGCAGUGGGGGAUAUUGCACGAUGGGGGAAACCCUGAUGCAGCGACGCCGCGUGAGCGAAGAAGGCCUUCGGGUCGUAAAGCUCUG
rnacentral:rRNA from 1 species